rnacentral:lncRNA from 1 species
CCCGGGUCUGUCAACCAGCCAGGCAAUCUGCAACACUGUGGGCAGGGAGAUGGGGGGAGGCGGCCUGAAAUCUACACCAGCUGGGACAACCACGCCCUACAAUGAAAAAGCCAGCCUGGCUGCUGGGCUCUUGUGAACCACUAAGACCUGAAGGUGGGGGGGUGGAAGGGGGAGACAAAUGCACUCUUGUAAAACCCAAUCAGCUACGUGGUUUUUUUCAAGUAGAGGCUUUGCUCUGCUACUGACUCCAAAUGGCCUAAUGUACUUUCUGAGUCUAUAAACUUAAUUACAGAUCACUCACUAAGCAUGUGGCAAGGUCAGUUCAACACUUGUUAUCUCUGCUGACUGCGCAGUUGCAAAUUCAAUACCAUUGUGGACAUGAAGUACAAGAUUCUGAAAAUAUCGCCAAGCGCUUGAAAGCCA